UCCCUUGAGUUUAACCAGAAGAAUGUCCCCCCAAAAUCUUAGUUUCAGUAGAUCCAAAGCAGCCUUCCAGCAGGAAUCAGCUGCAUGUGAUGGAGUCUCAUGUGCUUUUACCAUGGUAGGGAUGCUGAGGGUGAAGAUGUAGAUUCAUCCAGAUGAUUGUGAGGUCGUCCUCCAUCUUAAC